GGGCCCCAGGCUUCCUGUGUGCGCGCUCGUCCUCUGCUGUUUCCCGCCGGAGCUCGUUGGGCCUCCCCGGCCCGCCCGGCCCAUGGCCCAGACCCCCGACGGCAUCUCCUGUGAGCUCCGAGGCGAGAUCACCAGGUUCCUGUGGCCCAAAGAGGUGGAGCUGCUGCUGAAAACCUGGCUACCCGGGGAGGGUGCUGUGCAAAACCAUGUCCUGGUAUGGGGCAGGGGACAGAGCCGGGGAGGCGGCUGUGGCCCCACAGAAAGAGCCUCUUGCUCUGCCCAGGAUAUCAGACUGUCUUUCCCCAGGCACUGCUACGAUGGAGAGCCUACCUGCUGCACACCACCUGCCUCCCGCUGAGGGUGGACUGCACGUUCAGCUACCUGGAGGUCCAGGCCAUGGCGCUGCAGGAGACACCCCCUCAGGUCACCUUUGAGCUGGAGUCCCUGCGUGAGCUGGUCCUGGAGUUUCCUGGUGUGGCCGCCCU
rnacentral:lncRNA from 1 species